UCCCAUGCUGUGACCCUCUAGAGGGAAGCGCUUUCUGUUGUCUGAAAGAAAAGAAAGUGCAUCCUUUUAGAGGUUUACUGUUUGAGG
rnacentral:pre_miRNA from 10 species